GAGAGAGAGAGAUAGACAAAGAGAGAAAGAGAGCACACACGCUAAGUAAGAGUUGAUUGUUAAGAAUCUGUAGUUUGCGCAGGGAGAGGAAGGGGCGUCAGCAGCCAGGGUGAGCAGAUUUAAAGAGGCAAUUUAAUGACAUCACUAUUGAUUUCAGACUCCUGCAGUGUCCCCUGAACCUUGUACUAUAUUCAGAUUAAAGUCUAGGUUGCUAUUAAAUAAAUGAAGAACAAAAUAAUGGGGGGGGGGGGUGAAAUUGAAGCUUUCCUCUUAUGCUAACCUCCUGCUAUAACCUGGCAGGAUAGCUACUUUCCAAUAUUUUAAGAAGUUAUUUAUAUACAAGGGAAGUGUGUUUUAAAGAAUUCUAAGAAAGAAAAGGAAAGUCUAAUGUUACAAGACACUGCAGGGAAAUGUCACUGUGUAAUAACUCCCACCUGGGUUGGGUGGCAGGGUUUGGGCUUUGUGCCCAACAAUGCAUCAUGUUAUAUAAUAACACACACCCUCCUUCUGUGCCUUGCUGCCUUGCUUUUACAAUACACGUGGUGCAUGAACAGGGCAGGAUGCACCGGUGCCAAUGGUGACAGUGCAGAAUGCACCAAGAAAUAGGAAUGCAGACAUAUUAUGAAGACAAAAAGACAGGCUCAGCGUGGUGGCUCACGCCUGUAAUCCCAGCAAUUUGGGAGGCUAAGGUGGGCAGAUCA